AUCCAGCUGACGAGUACCAAAUUGGACGAAAUAUAGUCCUGGAU
rnacentral:hammerhead_ribozyme from 1 species